rnacentral:tRNA from 1 species
GACUGGGGUAGCUGAGUCAGUAGAGCAGGAGACUCUUACUCUCAGGGUUGUGUGUUCGAGCCCCACUUUGGGCA